AUGGGCGCAGCCUGAUGCAGCGACGCCGCGUGAGGGAUGGAGGCCUUCGGGUUGUAAACCUCUUUCGCCAGUGAAGCAGGCCUGUCCCUUUUGUGGGUGGGUUGACGGUAGCUGGAUAAGAAGCGCCGGCUAACUACGUGCCAGCAGCCGCGGUAAUACGUAGGGCGCGAGCGUUGUCCGGAAUUAUUGGGCGUAAAGAGCUCGUAGGCAGCUGGUCGCGUCUGUCGUGAAAUCCUCUGGCUUAACUGGGGGCUUGCGGUGGGUACGGGCCGGCUUGAGUGCGGUAGGGGAGACUGGAACUCCUGGUGUAGCGGUGGAAUGCGCAGAUAUCAGGAAGAACACCGGUGGCGAAGGCGGGUCUCUGGGCCGUUACUGACGCUGAGGAGCGAAAGCGUGGGGAGCGAACAGGAUUAGAUACCCUGGUAGUCCACGCCGUAAACGUUGGGCACUAGGUGUGGGGGGCCUUUUCCGGGUCUUCCGCGCCGUAGCUAACGCAUUAAGUGCCCCGCCUGGGGAGUACGGCCGCAAGGCUAAAACUCAAAGGAAUUGACGGGGGCCCGCACAAGCGGCGGAGCAUGCGGAUUAAUUCGAUGCAACGCGAAGAACCUUACCAAGGCUUGACAUGUGCCGGUCGGCUCCGGAGACGGGGUUUCCUCCUUGUGGGGCCGGUUCACAGGUGGUGCAUGGUUGUCGUCAGCUCGUGUCGUGAGAUGU
rnacentral:rRNA from 1 species